UUUUGGUAGGGCAGUCACUCCUGGGUAGGUUCCCCAGUGUUUCAUGUUUUCUCUAUUUCAUAUUCAGUGUUUUGCAUAAAACUGUAAAAACUGUAUGGGUAACCUACACCCUCUUCAUAUUGUGGGCCAGAAAUAUUAGAAUUUCCUAUAAUGGGGAGAUUUUGGUGUUUAGAACAUUGCUGAAGUGGCUGGAACAAUGUUUGGGUGCAAAUGCAGAUGUAUAAGAUGUAUAAAAUGUCAGUGGGCCAGAUGUUGUGUUUUUCAAAUACUAUCUAAAAUAUCACAGUAUAAAUAUAAAUUCAGCUAUUUAUCCCACACACAAUAGCAGACUUGAACUAGAUUAAAAUACACUAUUAAUACCAAAACAAUUGAUACUGACAUUUCAUUUUUCACAGUGCAUUUCAGAGUUGUUACUCUGGAUGCUAAUUUAGUCCCACUGCAACAAGAGGUAAGAUUAUUUUUCUAUAAAAUCUUUUCACAAAUAAAAAAAAUAAAUAAAUAUGUUUUAUCAGGUUGAUUUAACAAAACGUGUGAGCAACAAAACAAAUAAAGUUGUGUCAGCAGGAUAAUAUUUGGGAAAAUAUAUAUAUUUUUUGAGCAUGCUCAUUUUUACAAUGUGGUAAAGCUUAAUUUUAUCUUACUGUCUUUUUCUCUUCAGUACAGCAUGGUGACACUUGAGGAUAAUAAAGGUAACAGGAUCGGGCAGUGGAUGAAUGUUUCCUCAACAAUCCUGAUCCUGCAGCUUUCUCACCAGCUAAACUCUGAGGCUUCUGAGGGUGUUUACAAACUGGAGGCUAAAACUGGGGAUAGGUCGACCUUUCAUGACUUUAUUGUAAGAAAGUACGGUAAGUGUUAAUAUUAAAAUAUUAUUCUUUCUUCUGAUGAUACCAUGUAACCAUUUCAUGUACAUUUACUCAUUGAUUGUUUUACAUGUAGUUUUGCCCAGGUUUGAGGUUACAUUGAAAGCUCCCAAAGAACAGAGUGUUGCUGAGGAGGAACUGAAGAUAGAAGUUUGUGGAAAGUGAGUGUUUCAAAAUUAGAAUAAAAACAACAAACUCUUAUCA
rnacentral:lncRNA from 1 species